rnacentral:rRNA from 1 species
GACGAACGCUGGCGGCGUGCUUAACACAUGCAAGUCGAACGAUGAAGCCGGAGCUUGCUCUGGUGAAUUAGUGGCGAACGGGUGAGUAACACGUGAGUAACCUGCCCUUGACUCUGGGAUAACUGCGGGAAACUGUAGCUAAUACCGGAUACGACCCUCGGAGGCAUCUCCUGGGGGGUGGAAAGAAUUUCGGUCAAGGAUGGACUCGCGGCCUAUCAGCUAGUUGGUGAGGUAAAGGCUCACCAAGGCGACGACGGGUAGCCGGCCUGAGAGGGUGACCGGCCACACUGGUACUGAGACACGGCCCAGACUCCUACAGGAGGCAGCAGUGGGGAAUAUUGCACAAUGGGCGCAAGCCUGAUGCAGCAACGCCGCGUGAGGGAUGACGGCCUUCGGGUUGUAAACCUCUUUUAGCAGGGAAGAAGCGAAAGUGACGGUACCUGCAGAAAAAACACCGGCUAACUACGUGCCAGCCGCCGCCGUAA